rnacentral:rRNA from 1 species
CGGGUGAGUAACACGUGGGUAACCUGCCCAUAAGACUGGGAUAACUCCGGGAAACCGGGGCUAAUACCGGAUAACAUUUUGAACCGCAUGGUUCGAAAUUGAAAGGCGGCUUCGGCUGUCACUUAUGGAUGGACCCGCGUCGCAUUAGCUAGUUGGUGAGGUAACGGCUCACCAAGGCAACGAUGCGUAGCCGACCUGAGAGGGUGAUCGGCCACACUGGGACUGAGACACGGCCCAGACUCCUACGGGAGGCAGCAGUAGGGAAUCUUCCGCAAUGGACGAAAGUCUGACGGAGCAACGCCGCGUGAGUGAUGAAGGCUUUCGGGUCGUAAAACUCUGUUGUUAGGGAAGAACAAGUGCUAGUUGAAUAAGCUGGCACCUUGACGGUACCUAACCAGAAAGCCACGGCUAACUACGUGCCAGCAGCCGCGGUAAUACGUAGGUGGCAAGCGUUAUCCGGAAUUAUUGGGCGUAAAGCGCGCGCAGGUGGUUUCUUAAGUCUGAUGUGAAAGCCCACGGCUCAACCGUGGAGGGUCAUUGGAAACUGGGAGACUUGAGUGCAGAAGAGGAAAGUGGAAUUCCAUGUGUAGCGGUGAAAUGCGUAGAGAUAUGGAGGAACACCAGUGGCGAAGGCGACUUUCUGGUCUGUAACUGACACUGAGGCGCGAAAGCGUGGGGAGCAAACAGGAUUAGAUACC